rnacentral:rRNA from 1 species
CUGCUGCCUCCCGUAGGAGUUUGGGCCGUGUCUCAGUACCAAUGUGGGGGGUUGACCUCUCAGUCCCCCUAUGUAUCGUCGCCUUGGUGAGCCGUUACCUCACCAACUAGCUAAUACAACGCAUGUCCAUCUCUGACCACCUGAGUUUUCAACCACCGAAGAUGCCUCCGGUGAUGUUAUGGGGUAUUAGUACCAAUUUCCUCGUAGUUAGUUUAACCCUUCCCCCGUUGUAACGUAAAAGGGUUACGGUUAACAUACGUCGUUACGCCUACCCGUCCCGGUCCCGGUCCGGCCCGGA